AUAAACUUGGGGCACCUGUGUCACUACCUUCAAAAUAAUUAACUAAUAAGUGACUAAAAUAUAGAAUGCAAACAGAUAGCAUAUUAUGUAUAUACUUGACAUUUAUAUCAUCACAUAUUUGUAGAAAGAGUUUCAUUGGGACAAUUAUCUCAUUAUUCUAUGCAACUUGUGAUUCCUGGCAGAUUUUCAGAGACAACGCAGGAAAUGUUGAUUGAGCCAUUACUGCGCAGGUGACAGCGUACAUAACAGAGCUUCAAGCAUCAGGAUCA